rnacentral:rRNA from 1 species
UGGGGAAUAUUGCACAAUGGGCGCAAGCCUGAUGCAGCCAUGCCGCGUGUAUGAAGAAGGCAUUCGGGUUGUAAAGUACUUUCAGUCGGGAGGAAGGUGGUAAGGUUAAUAACCUUAUCAAUUGACGUUACCGACAGAAGAAGCACCGGCUAACUCCGUGCCAGCAGCCGCGGUAAUACGGAGGGUGCAAGCGUUAAUCGGAAUUACUGGGCGUAAAGCGCACGCAGGCGGUUGAUUGAGUCAGAUGUGAAAUCCCCGGGCUCAACCUGGGAACUGCAUCUGAUACUGGCAAGCUUGAGUCUCGUAGAGGGGGGUAGAAUUCCAGGUGUAGCGGUGAAAUGCGUAGAGAUCUGGAGGAAUACCGGUGGCGAAGGCGGCCCCCUGGACGAAGACUGACGCUCAGGUGCGAAAGCGUGGGGAGCAAACAGG